GCUGAGUGUGGCAAGAUUGUGGCAUAAACCCUAUUAAAUAGAAAAAGCUAUUGAUUUAUAUGAAUUGCAGUUUGCUUUCGUAAUGCGAAGGUCGUAGGUUCGACUCCUAUUACCGGCACCA
rnacentral:tRNA from 1 species